UACAGGGGGUGCAAACGUUGCUCGGAAUCAUUGGGCGUAAAGCGCACGUAGGCGGUUCGUUAUGUCGGAUGUGAAAGCCCUUGGCUUAACCGAGGAAGUGCAUCCGAAACUGGCGAGCUAGAGUACUAAAAGAGGAUCGCGGAAUUCCCGGUGUAGAGGUGAAAUUCGUAGAUAUUCGCAAGAACACCAGUGGCGAAGGCGGCUCACUGGCCCGAUACUGACGCUGAGGCACGAAAGCGUGGGGAGCAAACAGG
rnacentral:rRNA from 1 species